AAGCCAAUGGCGGCCAUAUUGGAUGGCCCCACAAUUAAUCUAGUCUGGUGUUGUGGACAUGUUUAACUCUUCCUUUAUGUUUCUAGUCACUAGUGAGAAAGGACAAAUAUUGCCUAGAUAAGAAUUUAUCAUCAGUAGCCUCUCUUUUUUCCUGAAUUAGCCGGUGAAUAACUAAUGGGGCCAUCAAAUAUGGCCGCCAUAAGCCUCAUUAUGUGGUGUAUAAAACGUUCUAAAACUACUUCGAAGAUGUUUUGGAAGCUAUAUUUCACAAGUCACAUAGGCGAAGGUAUUUGCUUUAUAGUCUAACUGAACUUAAACAGCAAACGAUUAGACUGGUCAUGAUAUGAAUUUGACUGAUCUAUAAGUCUCAUCUCAUUAAAAUAUUCUGGCUUCAAAAUCGGAUUCCUGAAUUCAAUAGGAUGCUUUAUUCAGUCUUAUUUCAGAUUAGUGUUUGUAUCGGAUAUAGGAAUUAUAUAAUGACCGAGUGAAAAUGAAUCUGGGGACAAGAAUG